rnacentral:rRNA from 1 species
CCUACGGGGGGCAGCAGUGAGGAAUAUUGGUCAAUGGGCGCGAGCCUGAACCAGCCAAGUCGCGUGAGGGAAGACGGUCCUAUGGAUUGUAAACCUCUUUUGUCGGGGAGCAAAAGACUCCACGCGUGGCGUUCCGAGAGUACCCGAAGAAAAAGCAUCGGCUAACUCCGUGCCAGCAGCCGCGGUAAUACGGAGGAUGCGAGCGUUAUCCGGAUUUAUUGGGUUUAAAGGGUGGGCAGGCGGAAGAUUAAGUCAGCGGUAAAAUUGUGGGGCUCAACCUCUUCGAGCCGUUGAAACUGGUAUUCUUGAGUGAGUGAGAGGUAGGCGGAAUGCGUGGUGUAGCGGUGAAAUGCAUAGAUAUCACGCAGAACUCCGAUUGCGAAGGCAGCAUACCGGCGCUCAACUGACGCUCAUGCACGAAAGUGUGGGUAUCGAACAGGAUUAGAUACCCGGGUAGUC